UUUCCCCAUUACUUUCUACAAAUUCCCAGAAUAUUUCUCCCUUUGCUUUCAAGGACUUACCCCUAGUCAUCGCAUGGAAAUUCCUACAUUGUCUUACAGAAAAUUUCCCCUUUGUGAUCCAGGAUAUUUAGCUUUCCAGGAUGGUUUCCCUUUGUUCCAGGAAUUCCCCUAUUGGUUGCCAGGAUUUUUCCUUUUGUUUUGCAGGAAUUUCGCCCCAGGGUUUUAGGAACUUUCAUCCUUCUGUCCCAGGGAAUUCCACAAACCAAAACUGACCCAAGCACCUGAACCCAGGACAGGGGCAUUCCGCAGAUCCAGCAAAAUGAAUUUAAGGGCCGUGAACACUGUGAAACCCAAAGAGGAGCCAGGAGAGCCGGGUCAGGGUGGGAGCAAGGGACAAGGCUGACAUGGAGAAGGACCCUGCGCAGCCACAGCCACUAUCCCCUGCCACCUUCCCAGGUCCUGCUGACUCAGGGACAUGUCCUGGAAGCUAAAAAUCAGCCUAAUUUAGGUCACCAGCUCCUGCACGGUGGAAGAAGAGAUUUCAGGAGGAAGAGUCAGUUUUACAAAGAAGUUUUUAAAAGCAUCCCAAAGGACAAGGAGAGCUUUCCCUGAACCUUAGACAUUCACUGCACAAAAUUUUCCUUCAAACUUAACCCCACCAUACAAACCUGCACUCCACACGCAUCCCUGCAGCCACAAGUCACCCAGGUUCAGGGGACAGUCCUUGCAGGCAGAAGGGCAAGCUGAAACCCCACAACUUUUAUCAGCAGUGUCCCUUUUGGGGACCCUCCCUGUAAAUCAAAAAGCAGCAAGGAAUGGGGCACCUUAAAGGAAAAAAAAUAAAUCUUUCUCUUUUAAUCCACCCAAGGGAAAUCCAGAGCAAGAGCAGCAUCACAGCACUACACACAGCACAGACAUCUAUCAUCGCCUUUGCACAGAUUCCUUCCCAGUUACACGGAGAAGUCAUUAAAAGAAAAAAAAUUAUU